CAAUGUUCAUUUCUCACUUUCUCAGCAGCAGCCCGAUUCUCUACCCUCAAAAACAUUCACACUUCACAAUCAGAAGCACAACUCACAAGUAACCAAAACACCCAACCCCCCGUUGCCCUAAAUCCCACCCUAAUAUUCUCAAUCUCAGUCGACAGUCGAACCAGGAAAACAAAAAACCCACAAUUUCUCUUCCGCCGGAGUCGCCGAGUCGGAGUGUCAGACUACCAGAGCCAGGUUUGCUUUCUUCUAAUUUCCCUUUCUUUUUUUUCCAAUUUCUUGAAUGGGUCUUUAUUGAAUCUUUAGUUGACUGAUAUAGUAUUCGAUUUUUUGGAGAAAAUGAUCUAGAUUUCGUGGAGGAUAAAAAUAGUUUCUGGGUUUUGAAUUUUUUUCCCUUUAGGAUUGAAUUAAAGGUUGAUAAACAUGGGGGAGGAGGACUCUCUCGUCUCUCCACUGAAUUUCUGUUGACUUUAAUAAUGAAAGAAUUUUUUUUAAAUUUUUUUUCCUUUCUUUUAUUUUAUUUGCAUACUUUUCCCUUUACUUAUAUGUCGUCAUUAAUCGUCAAUGUUAAGCUUAAUUCUGAUGGGUUUAAUCAUCCUAUAUUCAUGCAUUUCCUUUUUGAAGAUUUUUAAUUGGUACGCAUUCGACAUUUCCAUUUUCUUUUUCUUUGAAACCCUAAAAUUUCACCUAAAUCUUUCAUUAACUGUAUAUGUAUAUAUAUCGAGGAUAUUCAAGCAAACCUCUUUUGAAUUUAUUAUAAGAGAAAAUACGAUUUUCUUCUUUUGCUGACACCCGAAAAUAUAGUUUUUAUUUUUGACCAAGAAGAUUCCCUCACUUUUGAUUCAUUUUCUCUAUGUGAAACAUCUUGGUUAAAGAAUUCAAACAAAACUUUGACUAGUGUAAUUCAUCAUUAUAUGUUUAUAGUUGACCAUCUGAUAAGUAAAAAAUUGAUUAUAAUAUAAGGUGGAUUAAUUUGAUUAGGCCCCUAAAAUAGAAGGACCUUCCAAGUAUAUUUACCUAUCUGUAUCUACUAUUUGAUGAUUAUAUAUGUAUAUGUACGCAAUCUUAUUUUUGUUUGAAUUAUUUCCCUUUGGUCAUAAAAGCAGGCCAUGAGAUCACUGCUGAAGAAUGCACCGGUGUAGACGCAUAGUUUGUUUAUUGUGUAUUUUAGUGAUGGACUCAAGUGUCGACAAUUCCAUGCAUUUGUUAUGCUUUUGGCUGUUUUAAGUUUUAACUUAAGAAAACCACAGAUAUUGGACGUUUCAACAAUACAUAAUAAAGUUUGUUUCUUUCUUUCUUGCAUUAAUUGCAUGCACCACAGCAGUCGAACUUGGUAAAUUUAUGAUAUAAAAAUACUGUAACAG
rnacentral:lncRNA from 1 species